rnacentral:rRNA from 1 species
CAAUAGCGUAUAUUAAAGUUGUUGCAGUUAAAAAGCUCGUAGUUGGAUUUCUGGUGAGAUGGAUUUUGUCUAGGUCGAAAGAUCUUGUUCAUGGUUCGUUUUGCCCUUCUUGUCAGGAACCCGCUGAGAUUCGCGUCUUGUCGGUGGAAUGGCAUCGUUUACUGUGAAAAAAUUAGAGUGUUCAAAGCAGGCAUCGCCGUUGAAUACAUUAGCAUGGAAUAAUAAGAUAAGACUUUGGUGGUCUAUUUUGUUGGUUUGCACGCCAAAGUAAUGAUUAAUAGGGAUAGUUGGGGGUAUUCGUAUUCUAUUGCUAGAGGUGAAAUUCUUAAAUUUAUGGAAGACGAACUACUGCGAAAGCAUUUACCAAGGAUGUUUUCAUUAA